rnacentral:rRNA from 1 species
AUGGCGCCCAAGGCGGAGAAGAAGCCGGCGGCGAAGAAGCCCGCGGAGGAGGAGCCGGCGGCGGAGAAGGCCCCGGUCCCGGCCGGGAAGAAGCCCAAGGCCGAGAAGCGGCUGCCGGCGGGGAAGACCGCCGCCGGCAAGGAGGGUGGCGACAAGAAGGGCAAGAAGAAGGCCAAGAAGAGCGUGGAGACGUACAAGAUCUACAUCUUCAAGGUGCUGAAGCAGGUGCACCCCGACAUCGGCAUCUCCUCCAAGGCCAUGUCCAUCAUGAACUCCUUCAUCAACGACAUCUUCGAGAAGCUCGCCGGCGAGGCCGCCAAGCUGGCGCGCUACAACAAGAAGCCCACCAUCACGUCCCGGGAGAUCCAGACCUCCGUCCGCCUCGUCCUGCCCGGCGAGCUCGCCAAGCACGCCGUGUCAGAGGGCACCAAGGCCGUCACCAAGUUCACCUCCUCCUAG